GCACGUGCGCAGAUGUGACGUCGUCUGGACGAGUUUCUCGGGGAUUUUUUUGUUUGGUGGUACGUCGACUGGUUUAGGGAGGAUUGUGCUCUUAUAUAUUUACAGUUGUUUACGUUGUUUUUACGUACCCCCAGAAUAUAUCAGUUUAGGAGUAUUUCGGGCAAGAAAGAAGAACAGAGCUGUACGAUGUGUUAAAAGUAGCCCGUUUGGAGUGACAGCGCUGUGGAGGUGUAGGUAUGGGUGUAAUUAGGUGUAGCACCGAAAUACAUUCCAAAGGAUCCUUGCCUGGGUGAGAGGGCGGCAGACGGUCCUUGCCCGGGUGUUGGAUGUCACUGGGGAGGAGGUUGCUCUGCUCCUGCAUAUGCUGUCCAGUCUGAAGUGUCUGCAUGCAGUCAGCAGGCGUCGGCAGCUGCUGGAGCUGCUGGCCGAGGAGGUGGAUGUGGAGCAGGAGCUGGGUCCUACUGCUGCGGGGCUCCCACCUGGCUCUGCCCCUUUGCUCCAUGAGUGAACCCGCUCCUACACUCAGCUCGGCAGCUCCUUAUCCGGUCUACCCACCGCAGCUACUUAAGCUGCAGUAAGCUCACACUACACAAUUUUAGCCAUGGUUUUGCACUCACCAGUAUUCGAUGUUUACAAUCAAUCUUUGUGGUGGCAAAUCGGCACUCGAUCACAAUGUAUGAACUGUUUAAAAAUGCGACGCGACUGAGUCGCCGAUAUGUCGCAUGC